rnacentral:rRNA from 1 species
GAUGAACGCUGGCGGCGUGCCUAAUACAUGCAAGUCGAGCGAACAGACGAGGAGCUUGCUCCUCUGACGUUAGCGGCGGACGGGUGAGUAACACGUGGAUAACCUACCUAUAAGACUGGGAUAACUUCGGGAAACCGGAGCUAAUACCGGAUAAUAUAUUGAACCGCAUGGUUCAAUAGUGAAAGACGGUUUUGCUGUCACUUAUAGAUGGAUCCGCGCCGCAUUAGCUAGUUGGUAAGGUAACGGCUUACCAAGGCAACGAUGCGUAGCCGACCUGAGAGGGUGAUCGGCCACACUGGAACUGAGACACGGUCCAGACUCCUACGGGAGGCAGCAGUAGGGAAUCUUCCGCAAUGGGCGAAAGCCUGACGGAGCAACGCCGCGUGAGUGAUGAAGGUCUUCGGAUCGUAAAACUCUGUUAUUAGGGAAGAACAAAUGUGUAAGUAACUAUGCACGUCUUGACGGUACCUAAUCAGAAAGCCACGGCCAACUACGUG